AAGGCUGGAGCCUUCUGGGGAAAAUAAACACAUUUAACUCUUUUUAUAGUGGUACCUCGACCGACUGAAGACAGCAGGGAAACCAGCGUGUACUGAGGACCAUAAAGAUUGAGCAGCAAAUCAAGCCAAGGCCGGAUUAUGAUUUUCCUAACCCAACAUCCGACAUGCUAUUCCACACCUGCCCACCAGGUGUCCUCAGUCGGUCACCUGAUGCAUCACCUGCCUGCACAGCUGCUUCUCACUGAGGGGACGGAGAGCUGAAGAGCACAAAAUGGAGCGCUGAUGACGGGCACCCCCUUCCCGCCACCUCUGGAUCUGACGUCACAAUGAGCCUCUGUGGUAAAGCGAGACGUCAGGGAUCUCCAACGAAGCUGAUGCACUCAUCCACGUCACUGAAGGAUGAGUCCUCUUUCUCAGCUGCUGAACUUGGGAGGGAGCCUGCGAGUUCGGGGCCAAAAUUGCUUCCACAUUUCAUUUCAGAAAAAGGAGGCCACUCUUUUUUUUUCAAUUUAAAAAAUCCUGCAAACAGAUACUUAACUACAUCUGCAUCAAACUUUCAAUGUGAAAUUAAAUAGCUGAACGGAGGAGCUUGACAUGUUUCAAAUGUUCUGUUGAGGGAAAGCAGAAUAAGUGGAAGUUUACUUGGCUCGUCUCUCUCCUAUGAAUGAAUGCUUCUUACACACUGUAUAGUACUGUACAUAUUUUAAAUGGCUUGAGCUAAGCUACUUUGUGAAUCUUUGUCACAGAUCAUAAAAGCUGCACCAUAUUUGAAGACGUGUGUCCCACAAUGACAGGAUCCAAGACCAACACACACUGUUUACAUUGUACAGAAUUAAAAACGUCCUGCUGAUAACGGCGGCGCUCCCCAAGCUUAUCUUCCUGUGUGUCGUUUGCUUUUGUUUGACAGGCCGUUAUCAACAUGGCACGAGCCACUUCAAAUACCACCACUGUAGACAUGCCAAAAAAUGCUGUAUCAUCUGAGAUACUUUUGCUCACUGAAUGCAUAAUUACUAAUCGGGAAUGCACGACAUAAACAGCAGAACUAGAGACCAGAAAGGAUCAACAACAGCACGGUGAUCAGAGAGAAACACACUGAGGCAGUCGUGUUGGUAUACAGUAGUAUAUCAGACCAAACCUCAUGUUAGUAUAGCAUGAUAUCAAACCAUGUCAAACCAGGUUUCUUUAUCUGAAUUAGACGUGUGUAUGAACACAUGUUGUGUCAUGGGAUGAAACGUAGCUGAACAGUGCCAUCUUGUGUGCCAGAUGAGUAGCAUCUCUGUGGUUUCCUUUUAUCCAUUAAGGGUUUAUUUUGAAAUAAACUAGAAAAGAAACCGAACUGAACUUUAAGUGCAAUUGUCACAACUCUAUUGCAUGUUUGCAAAAGGUAGUAACUCAUCCAAAACACUUCAUUCAUGCUGCGAAACCAGUUAUUGUGUCAGUAAGUAUUCUUUUUAUACUUUAUACAGUGAACCGUUACACAUUCCUUGGGCAAUUUUGCACAUUUCUGCUUCUAAAAACUGCACAGCACUUUCAUUUUAAUUAAGUGCAUAUUAAUUAUAGU